UUUCUUCUCAUUAAGUUGUUGAACUGUCCGCAUAAUAAUGAAAUUGUUUGCAUUCAUUAUCGUUGCCUUGAUUGCUGUAUUCUGGUCUCCAGCAACCGCAACGUUUUGCGAUCCACCAUACUCAUGUGUAAACUUCUGCGUGUUUGGUUCCGAUCCUGGAAUCUGUCCGACCGGACAGUCCUGUUGUAGAUUAGGCCUGGGGGGAAAGUAAGAUCUUUUUGACAACCCUUCCUAUUAGUUUAGAAGAACUAUGUAAUUCAUUUCGAUGAUGUCUACUAUGGCUGUUUGUACCGAAAGCUUUUAAAAUAAAUAGUCACAUUACUGCC